AGCUCCCAAAGGGGUGAGAAGCCCCCGCCCCCUGCCUCGAUCGGUUGUCCCCGCCCACCCACCUGUGACGUGAGGGUACUUGAGCAUGAGCUGGAAACCAUAGCGGAGCGUGCUGCUGGUGGUCUCCGUGCCGGCGAAGAAGAGGGAGAGCACCGUGCAGAUGAGGUUCCGAGGGUGGAAUUCGCUGUUGGGGUCGGACUUCUCCUGAAUCCGAGCGGUGCCUUUGAGGUCCUUACCAUGUCCUUGGAAGAUUCGUUCUACAGUAGAGACUCUCCCGCGGCCAGAGAAGGCCUCAGCUUGGUCCACCAGGGCCUCCCGUAUGGCCUCUAUCCCACACAGCAUGACCACAGGCCUUGGCCCCAGAGAGAGAGAAGACAGAGUGUGAAGAGGGGAGGAGCAGAGAGAGAAGGAGCCACAGAAUCCGAAGCAGGCUUCAGGCUCUGAGUGGUCAGCACAGAGCCCGAUGCAGGGCUUGAAUUCAAAAACCAAGAGAUCAUGACCUGAGCCAAAGUCGGAAGCCUAACAGACUGAGCCACCCAGGCGCCCACUGAGGUUUUUCAAAUAAAAUUCUCAGCAACACUGAUAGAGAAUAAA